AAACCAUGGUGUGGACACUCUCUCCAAUACCUUGUAAAUCGAUCCCAUGCCUCGUAGAAAGACUCUUGUCCACCUUGAACAAAAGUUGAAAUCUUGUUGCUCAUCAU